CUGGAGGUUGGGCCUAGACCUACAGCAUUAGGCUGAAAGUCUUGGAAGUGGAAAAAUUAUUGAAGAGGAAAUGUUUCCAAAUGGGGCUAUUUGGAGCUCCUUCAUCUUGAACCAAGUGACCUCUUCAUUGCUCUAAGAGUGUAAGUGAUUCCCCCUGUGCUCAUUGCAAUGCUGUGGGCAUCAAUUAAUGACUCAGCCACCUAUCAUCCAGAGAAGAUACAGUGGAAAACAGGAGUGGAGGCAGACAUUUUGAAAAGAACACUCUGUGAAGAGACCGGCUGCAACUAGGAAAACACUGGAACUGCAAGGAACACAAGCUAUUCGACUGAGAUUGUUGAGCCUUAUUCUGACCAGGGCUUUACUACUUACUACCUCAGUAACUUCAUCUCAAUCCAACGACGUUUGGAUGCAUCCUACAUUCUGGCCUGCUGUGUCUCCUUGAUUACGACUGAUCUACCAUUGUUGGCUGAAGCAGCCAGAUACAAUGAAUCCAAGCUGAGGACAAUCAAACACCAACUCUUCAUGGGAAUAAUUCCCACCCACGUAAGUUACCCCAAAGGAAGGAGAAAUAAUUCCAUGUAAAAAUAACCAAGUCUGAUCUCUUACCUCAGUAUCACUUGUAUUGUCAUAAUCAUAAUCGAAGUCAGAAACAAUAAAAGCAAGCAGGUAAGUAGACAUCUUAGGUGUCUUU